rnacentral:rRNA from 1 species
AUUGAACGCUGGCGGCAGGCUUAACACAUGCAAGUCGAGCGGAGAUGAGGUGCUUGCACCUUAUCUUAGCGGCGGACGGGUGAGUAAUGCUUAGGAAUCUGCCUAUUAGUGGGGGACAACAUUCCGAAAGGAAUGCUAAUACCGCAUACGUCCUACGGGAGAAAGCAGGGGAUCUUCGGACCUUGCGCUAAUAGAUGAGCCUAAGUCGGAUUAGCUAGUUGGUGGGGUAAAGGCCUACCAAGGCGACGAUCUGUAGCGGGUCUGAGAGGAUGAUCCGCCACGCUGGGACGGAGACACGGCCCAGACUCCUACGGGAGGCAGCAGUGGGGAAUAUUGGACAAUGGGGGAAACCCUGAUCUAGCCAUGCCGCGUGUGUGAAGAAGGCCUUAUGGUUGUAAAGCACUUUAAGCGAGGAGGAGGCUACUGAGACUAAUACUCUUGGAUAGUGGACGUUACUCGCAGAAUAAGCACCGGCUAACUCUGUGCCAGCAGCCGCCGUAACAC